UUUUUUUUCGAAACGCGUGGGCUUCGCCUAGCGAGCAUGACAGUUCAAGAAAUUCCUCUGAGCGUAGGUGAUUCUGGUGGCUUUUCUUGGGACUCGCUAGGAGACCCAUUCUGCUCGCCUAGCGAGCAUGAAAACUCAUGAACAAACUUUUGCUCCUUCAAGGUUAACGUUUUGACUGAUGAAUAGACCCCAUUUGAACAUGUUGGAAGUGACUCACGUCAUUCCCUUG
rnacentral:lncRNA from 1 species